GAUGAACGCUGGCGGCGUGCCUAAUACAUGCAAGUCGAGCGAACAGACGAGGAGCUUGCUCCUCUGACGUUAGCGGCGGACGGGUGAGUAACACGUGGAUAACCUACCUAUAGGACUGGGAUAACUUCGGGAAACCGGAGCUAAUACCGGAUAAUAUAUUGAACCGCAUGGUUCAAUAGUGAAAGACGGUUUUGCUGUCACUUAUAGAUGGAUCCGCGCCGCAUUAGCUAGUUGGUAAGGUAACGGCUUACCAAGGCAACGAUGCGUAGCCGACCUGAGAGGGUGAUCGGCCACACUGGAACUGAGACACGGUCCAGACUCCUACGGGAGGCAGCAGUAGGGAAUCUUCCGCAAUGGGCGAAAGCCUGACGGAGCAACGCCGCGUGAGUGAUGAAGGUCUUCGGAUCGUAAAACUCUGUUAUUAGGGAAGAACAAAUGUGUAAGUAACUAUGCACGUCUUGACGGUACCUGAUCAGAAAGCCACGGCUAACUACGUG
rnacentral:rRNA from 1 species